UUAUAAAAAUGUUAUAAUUAUACUUAUAUAAUAACAUUCAUCAUUAUAUUAUAUAUUAAUAAUUAUUAUUUUCUGAAUUCCAUUUUUUAAUUUUUCAAGAGAAUACUUAAUGAGCAAGUAGAAAUUUUACCUCAUUUCACA
rnacentral:miRNA from 1 species